rnacentral:rRNA from 1 species
AAGUGAAGCAGAGGACAGUGGCGGACGGGUGAGUAACGCGUGAGGAACCUGCCUUUCAGAGGGGGACAACAGUUGGAAACGACUGCUAAUACCGCAUGAUACAUUUGGGUGGCAUCAUCUGAAUGUCAAAGAUUUAUCGCUGAAAGAUGGCCUCGCGUCUGAUUAGCUGGUUGGUGAGGUAACGGCCCACCAAGGCGACGAUCAGUAGCCGGACUGAGAGGUUGACCGGCCACAUUGGGACUGAGAUACGGCCCAGACUCC